rnacentral:lncRNA from 1 species
GGAUGCUGUGUCUUUUGGGUGUCACGACCUAAUUUCAGGAGAUUCCUAAUACGGUUGCUUAUAUUUGGGUAUUUCCAGUAAUCCAGUUAUGCACGUUGCUAACCUGAAGCUGAUGUCUCCGUUGAAGUUGUAUGAGGCAGAACCAGGUGGAGCAGGGCUGGUCCCCACACAGCUGCAGGAAGUUUCCUUGGUGCUAGUGUGGAAUUCUUCACUAAAGAGACAAAAUCUGCCAUGUUCUUCUCAUGAACACAGCAACUGCACAAGAUCAUUGCUCUAUAUCUGCAAGCAUCAGAUGUGUUUGUAAGUGAUGUGACUACCAGCAGCACCGGUUGAAAUUUCUGAGUACCACGCUGUAAGACCAGGCGUCAUGUGAGCGAUAGAGCAUCUGGGAACCCUGCGGACUGAGUGCCAGUGGUUUCUUUCAACCAGAGAACUGCAGUGUGCUUGCAGCACUGAGAAAUUUAUUCCCCUAGAUCCUCAUUAAGUAUUACGGUAACUUCUACUUUGCCUUUUAAAACUAAAAAUGGAGUGCAAAUCAUUCUUCUGAUCACUAUAGAAAUAGGCAAUUCCUAUAUUUGGAUUGGCGUGAAUUGAAAAUCCAAGCUAUUGGUCUAGCAGACUCAGAGUGAAGGACAGAAAAUACAAAUUAGAAUUACUGUGUUUCUUUCACAGGGAUUAGCCAUUUGUAAGAGAAAUUUCACGAUCUACAGUAGAUAUGGAGUACAGAUACAGAGUGUAUCUGUUGAAUUGUGGCAAUGUUUAAGUGCAAACAAAAUCUGUGAUAGAAAAGAAUAGUAUACUUCCAAGUGUUCAUGCUUUGCAAAUGGGCUAAAACAAUAAACAGAAUGCUAAAGUAAGAAUAAUAACCCCU